AUUGAACGCUGGCGGCAUGCCUUACACAUGCAAGUCGAACGGUAACAGGUCUUCGGAUGCUGACGAGUGGCGAACGGGUGAGUAAUACAUCGGAACGUGCCUAGUAGUGGGGGAUAACUACUCGAAAGAGUGGCUAAUACCGCAUGAGAUCUACGGAUGAAAGCAGGGGAUCGCAAGACCUUGUGCUACUAGAGCGGCCGAUGGCGGAUUAGGGAGUAGGUGGGAUAAACGCUUACCAAGCCGACGAUCUGUAGCUGGUCUGAGAGGACGAUCAGCCACACUGGGACUGAGACACGGCCCAGACUCCUACGGGAGGCAGCAGUGGGGAAUUUUGGACAAUGGGCGCAAGCCUGAUCCAGCAAUGCCGCGUGCAGGAUGAAGGCCUUCGGGUUGUAAACUGCUUUUGUACGGAACGAAAAGCCCUGGGUUAAUACCCUGGGGUCAUGACGGUACCGUAAGAAUAAGCACCGGCUAACUACGUGCCAGCCGCCGCCGUAA
rnacentral:rRNA from 1 species